UUAAAUUGAAGAGUUUGAUCAUGGCUCAGAUUGAACGCUGGCGGCAGGCCUAACACAUGCAAGUCGAACGGUAACAGGAAGAAGCUUGCUUCUUUGCUGACGAGUGGCGGACGGGUGAGUAAUGUCUGGGAAACUGCCUGAUGGAGGGGGAUAACUACUGGAAACGGUAGCUAAUACCGCAUAACGUCGCAAGACCAAAGAGGGGG
rnacentral:rRNA from 1 species